AAAAUAUAUAUAUAUAUAUAUAUAUAUAUAUAUAUAUAAUAUAUAAUUUUUUAUUCUCAUUUGAUGCUAUUAUUUAAGAAAUAGCUGUUUGAAAAAUCUGAUAAUUAUUUAAAUAAUAACUAAUAAUUAAGCCACCAGAUGUUGCUAUUUAUUACUAGACUUAAUAUUAAAGAAAGAGUUUUUGAAGUUUAUUGACCAAUUAUUAAUGAUCAUCAGUGUUUCUAUACGUUUGAGACUAAAUUAAUUUGGAUCAUAUCUUGGUAAUGUUUUUCAGGAGAUGGAAACAAAGUAUUAUAAUCUACUUCGCCAAAGGCCAGUUGGCUCAGCCGCAGAUACGGACGAGAGCAGAGAUAAGAAAUAGAGUGGCAGAAGUUCCCGGCUCCUGUGAUGAAGGGGGCAUCGCUUCUAUCCAUAACAUGCUCCGCACAACCCUGUCUUCCUCACUGCUGAACACCUCCAUCCAAAAAUAAGAGGAAUACUCAAACAAGGCCUCUCGCUUCUGUCAGCACUCGUCAAUUAGGGAAGACGGACUGUCUCCUCUCAGCCUUACCUGUCCCGACUACAUGUCCUCAUUCCAAUGAACGUGGGCAGUCGAGUCUCUUCUCCUUCCCCAGCAACCCUCGCUAGAGAAAGGAGAACCAUACCAAAAUGUACAAAGCUGUGUGUUUAGAAAAUAUAUAAGUUGAGAAAGGAUUUUUUUUUAACUAAUAAUGUAAUAAGCUGUUUCUUUUUUUUAAAAUCCCAAGAUGUAUUUAUUUUUCCUUUUAGUGUUUUCCAUGUUUCUCGCAUGCUUUUGGCUGUUGAAACUCUUAAGCUGUCUGUCGCUGUAGGCUCCAGUGUGACUGAACAGGGUGAGCGCUCCAGAAUUCAGACUCUUCUCUCCCCCACAAUCUUUAUGCGUGGAAGCCUAAGUCUGUGCAGUACAUAAAGUCAAGUUUUUGCUCAAGGCCUCCCUCAGUUACUCCAGCCAGCUGACAUUCCUCCCAGAGCCCUGGCCUGAUUCAUUCGCCCCUGAGACCCUCCCGCUGAGAUGAAGAGUGGAUAGAGUCUGCAGCUACAUUUUGAUGACUGCAAAAAGAGAAGAUUGGCCAUCAGGAUUGAAGGUGAUGCAAAACCUGGAAAUAAAGAUGCAAUGACAAAAUCUUUGUACUGAUCAGUUUUGGCUGUUUUUUUUAAAUGCAGGUGCUGGAGGAGUAUAAUGAGUGCAUGUGCUAGAAUGUUCGUGACACAGAAUGGGAAUUUAAGUAGCUUGUCAAUCAAAACUGCAUAUAAUAACUGCAACUCACUGUUGUGAUUGUCUUUUAACAUGGACAAGAGCUUCUGGCAAGUUCCUCCUUAUGAGUUUAAGUAGUUUCAUAUUUCUUUUUCUUCACUUCACAACAAGACAGGAAGCUUUUUAGUAUUAGUGCUACUUAAUGGAUAGCAAAGAUUGCGAGCAUAAUUAAUGCUCUAAUUAUGUGCUGCCACGGAGAAUGAUCGGAAAUUUAGUUUGUUUUUGAAGUCUGUCUCCUCAUAAACCAGCUAAAUGAGUUGUGUUUUCUAGCAAGCUUUAUCGUCAUUCCUCAUCAAGGGUACAUAAAGUGGGUACAAACGAAACUGUACAGUCAUCAUUCACGGUUACGUUUUAUGAUCAAUCCAAAUUUGCCUCUGCCAUGAUUCUUUCCUUGACACCCCCAGUGUGCGAAUUACACACUUGAGUGUCGGUGAGAAGAAUCUUUAUAGUACUUUCUAUGAGGGAUUUUGGAGAAAAGUCUAAGGUUUGGCUUCUGGCACCCAUAGUCUUUAAAAAAGAAUAUUUUAACAAAAUGCUCGGGCUGUUUACUGUUGUUAUGGUUAUCUAUGCAGGUGACUGCAAAUAUUUAGUGCUAUUUGAAAAUACUAGAGGAUUAUAUCUGAUGUUUCAUCAUGAUAUGAUCUGACAUAGAUUCUCCUCACCAGAGAUUCAGUGUUUGCCAAUACCUCAAAACAUGGCACGAUACGAUAACAUAUUGAUUAGAUUCAGGGGCCUGUGAUCGAUACAUAUAUAUAUAUAUAUAUAUAUAUACACACACACACACACACACACAUAUAUAUAUAUAUAUAUAUAUGUCAAAAUAUAACAUAUACAAACAUUUAAUUGAUUGUAAAUUCCAAUUGGGACACAGACUACAUUAACCUUUUGAUUGAUUACAUAUUAUUCACACAAUAGCAAUAAAUUAUUCUUAAUUUAUUGAUUCUACCUAAUUCUCCAUUUUCAUCUUUUAAAUUUUUCCUUUUUAAAAUUAAGCCUACUGCUUAUAUACCUUUUUGUUGAAACUCAGUCAGGUGGCUGUAA
rnacentral:lncRNA from 1 species